rnacentral:snoRNA from 1 species
GCAGCUCUCAGCAGACCCUGCACCUCUCUAGUGGUGCCCGGUCUCUACAGGGCUGCCACAGCGCAUACCAGGGUACGCUGUUUGAGGCGGGCGUGACCAGCGCCAGUGUUGCGCUCGUUAGGAUUCAGUAUCCACAUCU